UACGUAGGGUGCAAGCGUUGUCCGGAAUUAUUGGGCGUAAAGAGCUCGUAGGCGGCUUGUCGCGUCGGCUGUGAAAACUCGGGGCUCAACCCCGAGCCUGCAGUCGAUACGGGCAGGCUAGAGUCCGGCAGGGGAGACUGGAAUUCCUGGUGUAGCGGUGAAAUGCGCAGAUAUCAGGAGGAACACCGGUGGCGAAGGCGGAUCUCUGGGCCGUAACUGACGCUGAGGAGCGAAAGCUAGGGGAGCGAACGGG
rnacentral:rRNA from 1 species